rnacentral:lncRNA from 1 species
CAUAUAUACAUAUAUAUCUUUAUAAUCAAAUAAACAAUGUCCUACUGAUAGUAUAAAUAUCUAUCUAUCUAUGCGUGAAAACAUUUCAAAUAUACAAGCAUCUAAAUCCGGGGGGAGGGGGUCUUUACCUAAACUAAGCUGCCUUACUGAACGGUAUACGAGCUUCGAAUGACAAUAUAUCUUAAUGUACUUAAAAAAGAC